CUUGACUGGACUUUAGUCUCAAUAUCAUAGUGAUGGACCCAUGUUUCAUCCUGUGUGAUAAGUCUGCCAAAAAAGUCCUCCUCAUUUUCUUGGCACAUUGCCAAAAGAGCCUGAAAGCAAGUGACUCAUUCCUGCUUCUGAAAAAGUGUGAGCAGCUGGAGAAUCCAUCGGAAGUGGGUCCUGUAGGGACAGAGUGUU